rnacentral:lncRNA from 1 species
UUCAACAACUAUGGGAUUUCCUGAGAACCCGAUGAGUGGGAUACCGACCUAUUUUAGCAGACCUAUCAAAUUUAUUUUUGAGAAUAUAUUAUAGAACAAUAUAUCGAUAGUGCUUCCAUUAUUAACCAGAAUUCUUUUUACAUUAUAUUUUGCUAUUGUCAUGAAGAUGACAAUAGCAUUAUUAUAUAGGGUUUGAAUCCCCUCUACAUCAUUUUCAAAAAAAGAGAUAAUUUCUUCUAUCUUUUGCCUCUUGGG